rnacentral:tRNA from 1 species
GGACAUGUAGCUCAGCUGGAUAGAGCGCCCCCCUGCUAAGGGGGAGGUCGAGGGUUCGAAUCCCUCCAUGUAUUG